GAUGAACGCUGGCGGCGUGCCUAAUACAUGCAAGUCGAGCGAACAGACGAGGAGCUUGCUCCUCUGACGUUAGCGGCGGACGGGUGAGUAACACGUGGAUAACCUACCUAUAAGACUGGGAUAACUUCGGGAAACCGGAGCUAAUACCGGAUAAUAUAUUGAACCGCAUGGUUCAAUAGUGAAAGACGGUUUUGCUGUUACUUAUAGAUGGAUCCGCGCCGCAUUAGCUAGUUGGUAAGGUAACGGCUUACCAAGGCAACGAUGCGUAGCCGACCUGAGAGGGUGAUCGGCCACACUGGAACUGAGACACGGUCCAGACUCCUACGGGAGGCAGCAGUAGGGAAUCUUCCGCAAUGGGCGAAAGCUUGACGGAGCAACGCCGCGUGAGUGAUGAAGGUCUUCGGAUCGUAAAACUCUGUUAUUAGGGAAGAACAAAUGUGUAAGUAACUAUGCACGUCUUGACGGUACCUAAUCAGAAAGCCACGGCUAACUACG
rnacentral:rRNA from 1 species